rnacentral:rRNA from 1 species
AAGUUUGAUGGCGACCGGCGCACGGGUGAGUAACACGUAUCCGAACCUGCCGAUGACUCGGGGAUAGCCUUUCGAAAGAAAGAUUAAUACCCGAUGGCAUAGUUCUUCCGCAUGGUAGAACUAUUAAAGGAUUUCGGUCAUCGAUGGGAUGCGUUCCAUUAGGUUGUUGGCGGGGUAACGGCCCACCAAGCCUUCGAUGGAUAGGGGUUCUGAGAGGAAGGUCCCCCACAUUGGAACUGAGACACGGUCCAAACUCCUACGGGAGGCAGCAUG